rnacentral:rRNA from 1 species
AUUGAACGCUGGCGGCAGGCCUAACACAUGUAAGUCGAACGAGUGGCGGACGGGUGAGUAAUGUCUGGGAAACUGCCUGAUGGAGGGGGAUAACUACUGGAAACGGUAGCUAAUACCGCAUACCAUCGGAUGUGCCCAGAUGGGAUUAGCUAGUAGGUGGGGUAAAGGCUCACCUAGGCGACGAUCCCUAGCUGGUCUGAGAGGAUGACCAGCCAAAAUGGAACUGAGACACGGUCCAGACUCCUACGUGAGGAAGCAGGGGGGAAUAUGUCACAAUGGGCGAAAGCCUGAUGCAGCCAGGCCGCGUGUAUGAAGAAGGCCUUCGGGUUGUAAAGGACUUUCAGCGGGGAGGCGUUACCCGAAGAAGAAGCACCGGCUAACUCCGUGCCAGCAGCCGCGGUAAUUC